UUUGUUUUCUGGUGUAUUUAGAUCUGAAAGUAGUAGUGGCCUUAUUCAUAGUAGAAAAGGAGACCCACUAACAGUCACAAUACAGUUACUCAUUUCCUGCAAACUGACUACACUUGAGAGCCUAUAAAAGGCAAGGCCUUCAAAGACCAGGUAACUAUAGUGAUGGAACGUUAUGGAAAAAUUAAAGAGUACAAUGGCGGUGUGAUGGGUUGGCUUCUUCUGAGUGAGCUGGAGAAAUUGGUGGGAAAAAAAUAUGACAAGGGUGAAGAGCAGUUGUUGCAUCUGGCAUCUUCAAUAACCAAGAAACAACACCUUUGGAUUUGGAAGGACACACUGCAUAUCGAACACUAGAGGGCAGCAGCUCCCCAGAGAUGACCCGUGAAGCUGCCCAGUCUCCUGAUUCUCCUCUCCUCUCUCCCGCCACUAGCCCCGCCCCCCAUCCCUUUCAGUCCUGCACCACACCGGAGACUUGCGCAGCGGAAAGAUCCAUGGCUUUGGUAACAGGGAGAUCUGGGCUUAAAUCCCAAUUCUUAUUACCUAUGACCUUGAAUAAGUGACCUAUCCACAGCUGGAAAAAUAAAGCACAAAAA